rnacentral:rRNA from 1 species
GACAGAGGUGCCAAGCGUUAGGCGGAAUCACUGGGCUUAAAGCGUGUGUAGGCGGACUUCUAAGUACCUUGUGAAAUCCCACGGCUCACCCGUGGAACUGCUCGGUAUACUGGUCGUCUUGAGCCACUUAGGGGCUGUCGGAACAGGCGGUGGAGCGGUGAAAUGCGUAGAUAUCGCCUGGAACGCCAACGGUGAAAACAGACAGCUGGGAGUGUGCUGACGCUGAGACACGAAAGCCAGGGGAGCGAACGGG